UACGUAGGAGGCAAGCGUUGUCCGGAAUCACUGGGCGUAAAGCGCGUGUAGGUGGUGGGACAAGUCUGCUGUGAAAGCGCCUGGCUUAACCGGGCGAGGUCGGCGGAAACUGUCCGACUCGAGGACGGUAGAGGGGGGUGGAAUUCCCGGUGUAGUGGUGAAAUGCGUAGAGAUCGGGAGGAACACCUGUGGCGAAGGCGGCCCCCUGGGCCGGCCCUGACACUGAGACGCGAAGGCGUGGGGAGCGAACGGG
rnacentral:rRNA from 1 species